GUACCGUGAGGGAAAGGUGAAAAGCACCCCGGAAGGGGAGUGAAACAGUUCCUGAAACCGUGUGCCUACAAGUAGUUAGAGCCCGUUAAUGGGUGAUAGCGUGCCUUUUGUAGAAUGAACCGGCGAGUUACGAUUUGUUGCAAGGUUAAGCGGAAAAAGCGGAGCCGUAGCGAAAGCGAGUCUGAAUAGGGCGCAUAAGUAACAGGUCGUAGACCCGAAACCAGGUGAUCUACCCAUGUCCAGGAUGAAGGUAAGGUAAUACUUACUGGAGGUCCGAACCCACGCACGUUGAAAAGUGCGGGGAUGAGGUGUGGGUAGCGGAGAAAUUCCAAUCGAACUUGGAGAUAGCUGGUUCUCUCCGAAAUAGCUUUAGGGCUAGCCUCGAGGUAAAGAGUCAUGGAGGUAGAGCACUGUUUGGACUAGGGGCCCUUCUCGGGUUACCGAAUUCAGAUAAACUCCGAAUGCCAUGUACUUAUACUCGGGAGUCAGACUGCGAGUGAUAAGAUCCGUAGUCGAAAGGGAAACAGCCCAGACCACCAGUUAAGGUCCCCAAAUAUAUGUUAAGUGGAAAAGGAUGUGGGGUUGCUUAGACAACCAGGAUGUUGGCUUAGAAGCAGCCACCAUUGAAAGAGUGCGUAAUAGCUCACUGGUCGAGUGACCCCGCGCCGAAAAUGUACCGGGGCUAAACAUAUUACC
rnacentral:rRNA from 1 species